GAAAAAAAAAAAGAAUAGGAAAAAAAUAAGAUGAUUCCUUGGAUAAUCAGAGUCAGAAUUUCUUUGACUCUCUGGAGAAAAAUCCCAUGCUAGCUCCCUCACAUUUUUUUUCCUUCAGCAGCCUGUAUUAGAGUGUGAAAAAGCAGCAGGAGGAGAAAAAAGUCUGUAAUUUUAAUGGGACUACGGAGACCACUUUGAAAUAUUGAACAUUUCCAUGAGAACAAAUAGCUUCUACCUGAUGUCAUAGCCGCUUGUUCUCUUUAAGGAUCCAAGCGAGUAGGCGAGUUUUCCUGACGUAGGAUAUGGUUGGGUCCUUCAGGACAUUGAAGGAUGUCACUCGUGGGGCAUGGUCGACUCCCUGGACUGUGCCUGUUCCCUGAGACAGGACUUUGAUUUCAGCGUUCCUUUCUCUAAAGCCACGGUCACUGCAGCCCAGCAGUGACUCAAGCAGAUGGCUGUUGGUGACAAGCCUCUUCUGAUUGGUAAUAAAAAUACCAGAAGCUACACUGCAUUGUGUACAAAUACGUGAGGCUAUUGCAGAUUCCUUUGUAUCUCUAGAUUCUAUUUUGAGAGCCGGUUGAUCUUCUCCAUGCAGAACCCUCACAGAAUGAGCAAUCACGCCAGGACUCCUGGGUUCAUGACACACCAACCAUCACCCCAGCACCCGACUCCUCUUCUUCCAUUGGACUCUGCCCUCAAGCCUGCAGCAUAUAGCCAAAGAAACACAACUCAUGAGCCCUGGGGAAGCUGGUUCGCCUGUCUAGAAGCCGUCCUCAAAGUCUCCUGGGCACUUCCCCAAGUCUCCCCGGCCUGUUUGUCUCUGCACACACAGAUUGCUUUCUCCUGACCGCUUGCAGCCCUGUCUUUACUUGGCCAUUAAUUGUACAUCAUCCCUGACAUCUUUUACCGUGUUCUGCUAUAUUUUUAUUUAUUAUUGAUUCUACACAUGCCUAACAUUUGCUAAGUCCAAACCAUGUGCUGACAGCACUUAGCAAUGGUCUUGCUGAAGGGAUAAAAGACUAUUAAAUUGGGUUGAAACAUCUAGUUUUAAACCGUUAUAGAGUGCAUGCUCAAACAGAAUCAGGAACCAAAGGCAUAUUUGUUUAAAA
rnacentral:lncRNA from 1 species